rnacentral:rRNA from 1 species
AGAGUUUGAUCCUGGCUCAGAUUGAACGCUGGCGGAAUGCUUUACACAUGCAAGUCGAACGGCAGCACGGGGGCAACCUGGUGGCGAGUGGCGAACGGGUGAGUAAUACAUCGGAACGUGCCCAAUCGUGGGGGAUAACGUAGCGAAAGUUACGCUAAUACCGCAUACGAUCUACGGAUGAAAGCGGGGGAUCGCAAGACCUCGCGCGAAUGGAGCGGCCGAUGUCAGAUUAGGUAGUUGGUGGGGUAAAGGCUCACCAAGCCAACGAUCUGUAGCUGGUCUGAGAGGACGACCAGCCACACUGGAACUGAGACACGGUCCAGACUCCGUACGGGAGGCAGCAGUGGGGGAUUUUGGACAAUGGGCGCAAGCCUGAUCCAGCCAUUCCGCGUGCAGGAUGAAGGCCUUCGGGUUGUAAACUGCUUUUGUACGGAACGAAACGGCGAGCUCUAAUACAGUUUGCUAAUGACGGUACCGUAAGAAUAAGCACCGGCUAACUACGUG